GGGCGGUUAGCUCAGUUGGCUAGAGCGCAUCGUUCACACCGAUGAGGUCGCUGGUUCGAGUCCAGUACCGCCCAC
rnacentral:tRNA from 1 species